rnacentral:rRNA from 1 species
UACGAAGGGGGCGAGCGCUGUUCGGAGUUACUGGGCGUAAAGGGCGCGUAGGCGGCGAUCCAAGUUAGGCGUGAAAGCCCCGGGCUUAACCUGGGAAUUGCGCUUAAGACUGGACUGCUUGAGUGCGGGAGAGGUGAGUGGAAUUCCCAGUGUAGAGGUGAAAUUCGUAGAUAUUAGCUAGAACACCAGUGGCGAAGGCGGCCAACUGGUCCGGUACUGACGCUGAGGUGCGAAAGCGUGGGGAGCAAACAGG